GGAGGGUAUAACUCAGUGGUAGAGCACAUGCUUAGCAUGCAUGAGGUCCUGGGUUCAAUCCCCAGUACCUCCA
rnacentral:tRNA from 1 species